UUGAUAGCCAAAAAGGUUGUCAUCCGCCUUAUGUUUUCAAUGACAGACAAACUGUUGCACAAAUAAAGUUGCAGUUUUUUAUUUGCAACUCAUCCGACCCAUCUGAGACGAGGCUUAUAAAAGACGCCUUCAGGAUGGUGACAGUAUUCAGUCACUUUAGUGUCAGCUACCGUAAACUAGUAAAGUCACCAUGAUGAAGUACACUUUGGCUUUCGUCCUAAUCGCCCUUUUCGCGAUGAUCUCGAUCUCCCAGGCUAUGCCUAAACCCGAGGAGGACGCCGUUGCUUCUGACGAUAGUGUAAGCGCCAAGAAUACGGUCGAAAUAGAAUUGUCCCCGGAAGAUAUCGCUAAGCUUGAAGCCUUAUCAGGCCGUGACUGGAGAGACUGGGUGAACAUGGCUCUUCAAGUCGCUACUACCAUAUUCGGAAAAUGAUGAAUGAUGAAAUUUGAAUAAAAUGCAAUCUGAAUGUGUAUCAACUACCUCUACUGAUAUCGUUUUAGAUUUUGAAAGAAUAUAAUAACAACUCGUUAUUUCAAAUAUGAACUUGUUAUAAAGCCUAACAGUCCCAACACUCGGCAUGGUAGUCAAGCGUAGGAAAGACAGAAAGGGAGAAACUUUUGCAGUAGCAAGUGUUAGUGUUGUUUUAGAUAUUUUUUAUUCAAAGAUAAUGUUUUCGGUUACUUUUAACGCAUGAAUCCGCUAUAACAUUUAGUCCAGUGGCGUAAAACAAACUUUUUUUCUCAUGGGUCGGUAUUCUUUAGUUGUAUAGAGUGACACAUUAGAACAUAUUGGAAACGGCAUUUUUUCGGCCAUUACUGUAUCCAGCCUUUUUUCGAAAUAGAAUACAGGAAGAAAUCUACUUGUUUACCACAACAACUGCAACUGCAAGAUUUACACUCUGGAGUUCUUUCGAAGUUGUUUUCGAAUUCAAUUGCAGUUGAUAGCCAAAAAGGUUGUCAUCCGCCUUAUGUUUUCAAGGACAGAUAAACUGUUGCACAAAUAAAGUUGCAGUUUUUUAUUUGUAACUCAUCCGACCCAUCUGAGAAGAGGCUUAUAAAAGACGCCCGCAGGAUGGUGACAGUAUUCAGUCACUUUAGUGUCAGCUUACGUAAACUAGUAAAGUCACCAUGAUGAAGUACACUUUGGCUUUCGUCCUGAUCGCCCUUUUCGCGAUGAUCUCGAUCUCCCAGGCUAUGCCUAAACCCGAGGAUGACGCCGUUGCUUCUGACGAUAGUGUAAGCGCCAAGAGUACGGUCGAAAUAGAAUUGUCCCCGGAAGAUAUCGCUAAGCUAGAAGCCAUAUCAGGCCGUGGCUGGAGAGACUGGGUGGGCACGGCUCUUCAAAUCGCUACUACCAUAUUCGGAAAAUAAUGAAUGAUGAAUUUUGAAUAAAAUGCAAUCUGAAUGUGUAUCAACUACCUUUACUGAUAUCGUUUUAGAUUUUGAAAGAAUAUAAUAACAACUCGUUAUUUCAAAUAUGAACUUGUUAUAAAGCCUAACAGUCCCAACACUUGCCAUGGUAGUCAAGCGUGGCAAAAAUAGAAAGGGGGAAAUUUUGCAGUAGCCAGUGUUAGUGUUGUUUUAGAUAUUUUUUAUUCAAAGAUAAUGUUUUCGGUUACUUUUAACGCAUGAAUCUGCUAUAACAUUUAGUCCAGUGACGUAAAACAAACUUUUUUUCUCAUGGGUCGGUAUUCCUUACUUGAAUAGAGUGAAACAUUAGAACAUAUUGGAAACGGCAUUUUUUUCGGCCAUUACUGUAUCCGGCCUUUUUUCCAAACAGUAUACAGGAAGAAUCUAUUCGUUUACCACAACAACUGUGCAAAGAUUUACAGUCUGGAGUUCUUUCGAAGUUGUUUUCGAGUUCAAUUGCAGUUGAUAGCCAAACAGGUUGUCAUCCGCCUUAUGUUUCCAAGGACAGUCAGACUGUUGCACAAAUAAAGUUGCAGUUUUUUAUUUGCAACUCAUCCGACCCAUCUGAGAUGAGGCUUAUAAAAGACGCCCGCAGGAUGGUGACAGUAUUCAGUCACUUUAGUGUCAGCUACCGUAAACUAGUAAAGUCACCAUGAUGAAGUACACUUUGGCUUUCGUCCUGAUCGCCCUUUUCGCGAUGAUCUCGAUGUCGCAGGCUAUGCCUAAACCCGAGGAUGACGCCGUUGCUUCUGACGAUAGUGUAAGCGCCAAGAGUACGGUCGAAAUAGAAUUGUCCCCGGAAGAUAUCGCUAAGCUAGAAGCCAUAUCAGGCCGUGGCUGGAGAGACUGGGUGGGCACGGCUCUUCAAAUCGCUACUACCAUAUUCGGAAAAUAAUGAAUGAUGAAUUUGGAAUAAAAUGCAAUCUGAAUGUGUAUCAACUA